AACGAACGCUGGCGGCAGGCCUAACACAUGCAAGUCGAGCGAACCGCAAGGUUAGCGGCGGACGGGUGAGUAACGCGUGGGAACGUGCCCUUUGCUACGGAAUAGCCCUGGGAAACUGGGAGUAAUACCGUAUGUGCCCUUCGGGGGAAAGAUUUAUCGGCAAAGGAUCGGCCCGCGUUGGAUUAGGUAGUUGGUGGGGUAAUGGCCUACCAAGCCGACGAUCCAUAGCUGGUUUGAGAGGAUGAUCAGCCACACUGGGACUGAGACGCGGCCCAGACUCCUACGGGAGGCAGCAGUGGGGAAUCUUAGACAAUGGGGGAAACCCUGAUCUAGCCAUGCCGCGUGAGCGAUGAAGGCCUUAGGGUUGUAAAGCUCUUUCAGUGGGGAAGAUAAUGACGGUACCCACAGAAGAAGCCCCGGCUAACUCCGUGCCAGCAGCCGCC
rnacentral:rRNA from 1 species